AUUGAACGCUGGCGGCAUGCCUUACACAUGCAAGUCGAACGGCAGCAUGAUCUAGCUUGCUAGAUUGAUGGCGAGUGGCGAACGGGUGAGUAAUACAUCGGAACGUGCCCUGUAGUGGGGGAUAACUAGUCGAAAGAUUAGCUAAUACCGCAUACGACCUGAGGGUGAGAGUGGGGGACCGCAAGGCCUCAUGCUAUAGGAGCGGCCGAUGUCUGAUUAGCUAGUUGGUGGGGUAAAGGCCCACCAAGGCGACGAUCAGUAGCUGGUCUGAGAGGACGAUCAGCCACACUGGGACUGAGACACGGCCCAGACUCCUACGGGAGGCAGCAGUGGGGAAUUUUGGACAAUGGGCGAAAGCCUGAUCCAGCAAUGCCGCGUGUGUGAAGAAGGCCUUCGGGUUGUAAAGCACUUUUGUCCGGAAAGAAAUGGCUCUGGUUAAUACCUGGGGUCGAUGACGGUACCGGAAGAAUAAGGACCGGCUAACUACGUGCCAGCAGCCGCGGUAAUACGUAGGGUCCAAGCGUUAAUCGGAAUUACUGGGCGUAAAGCGUGCGCAGGCGGUUGUGCAAGACCGAUGUGAAAUCCCCGAGCUUAACUUGGAAAUUGCAUUGGUGACUGCACGGCUAGAGUGUGUCAGAGGGGGGUAGAAUUCCACGUGUAGCAGUGAAAUGCGUAGAGAUGUGGAGGAAUACCGAUGGCGAAGGCAGCCCCCUGGGAUAACACUGACGCUCAUGCACGAAAGCGUGGGGAGCAAACAGGAUUAGAUACCCUGGUAGUCCACGCCCUAAACGAUGUCAACUAGUUGUUGGGGAUUCAUUUCCUUAGUAACGUAGCUAACGCGUGAAGUUGACCGCCUGGGGAGUACGGUCGCAAGAUUAAAACUCAAAGGAAUUGACGGGGACCCGCACAAGCGGUGGAUGAUGUGGAUUAAUUCGAUGCAACGCGAAAAACCUUACCUACCCUUGACAUGCCACUAACGAAGCAGAGAUGCAUUAGGUGCUCGAAAGAGAAAGUGGACACAGGUGCUGCAUGGCUGUCGUCAGCUCGUGUCGUGAGAUGUUGGGUUAAGUCCCGCAACGAGCGCAACCCUUGUCUCUAGUUGCUACGAAAGGGCACUCUAGAGAGACUGCCGGUGACAAACCGGAGGAAGGUGGGGAUGACGUCAAGUCCUCAUGGCCCUUAUGGGUAGGGCUUCACACGUCAUACAAUGGUGCAUACAGAGGGUUGCCAAGCCGCGAGGUGGAGCUAAUCCCAGAAAAUGCAUCGUAGUCCGGAUCGUAGUCUGCAACUCGACUACGUGAAGCUGGAAUCGCUAGUAAUCGCGGAUCAGCAUGCCGCGGUGAAUACAUUGCCCGGGUCU
rnacentral:rRNA from 1 species